AUUGAACGCUGGCGGCAGGCUUAACACAUGCAAGUCGAGCGGUAGAGGGGAGCUUGCUUCCCUUGAGAGCGGCGGACGGGUGAGUAAUGCCUAGGAAUCUGCCUGGUAGGGGGGGACAACGUUCGGAAACGGACGCUAAUACCGCAUACGUCCUACGGGAGAAAGUGGGGGAUCUUCGGACCUCACGCUAUCAGAUGAGCCUAGGUCGGAUUAGCUAGUUGGUAGGGUAAAGGCCUACCAAGGCGACGAUCCGUAACUGGUCUGAGAGGAUGAGCAGUCAUACUGGAAGUGAGACACGGUCCAGACUGCGACGGGAGGCAGCAGUGGGGAAGAUUGGACAAUGGGCGCAAGCCUGAUCCAGCCAUGCCGCGUGUGUGAAGAAGGUCUUCGGAUUGUAAAGCACUUUAAGUGGGGAGGAAGUUCAGUAAGUUAAUACCUUGUUGAAUAGACGUUACCGACAGAAUAAGCACCGGCUAACUCUGUGCCAGCCGCCGCCGUAACAC
rnacentral:rRNA from 1 species